rnacentral:tRNA from 1 species
GCCUGGGUGGCUCAGGUGGUUAAAGCAUCUGACUGUUGGUUUUGGCUCAGGUCAUGAUCUCAGGUUUCAUGGGUUCGAGCCCAUCAUCAGGCU